rnacentral:rRNA from 1 species
UUAAAAAGCUCGUAGUUGGAUUUCUGUGGGGACGGAGCGGCCGGCCGCUACUAGCGGUUCGAGCUAGCGCUUUCCCUACAUCCUGCCGCGAACCGCGCUACCAUUAGUCUGGUGGCGCCGGGGAUCGGCUCGUUUACUUUGAGAAAAAUAGAGUGUUCAAAGCAGGCCACACGCCUUGAAUAAGUUAGCAUGGAAUAAUAACUAAGGACUUCGGUUCUAUUUUGUAGGUGUUCCGGGACUGAAGUAAUGAUUGAUAGGGACAGUUGGGGCGGUUCCGUAUUCCCAAAGCGAGAGGUGAAAUUCUUAGACCUUCGGAAGACGAACAGCUGCGAAA